CUGGGGUCACCACCCCUGCCAUAGUCUGGGGGUCACUUUGGCCAGCCCAGACGCCUUCACAGCUGAAUAGUCUUGGUUCCAGUUUAGCAGGAAUAUAAACACACAGCCAAGUUUCAUCUAUUCUCACGUCUCGUGGGAUUAAAACUGACUCAGGAAAAAAAUACAGAAUUCUUUAUCCUAUGGGAGAAGAAAGGAAAAAUUAAGAAAAUGCUGAAAAGUAUAUGAAGAAUUUAGUUACCCUGUUGCAUAAAUUGAGUUCAUGGCUGCAAGCAGGAAAUGAACGUAACAGAAAACACGACUAGAUUUCGUUCAGGCUCAUGUCCCCACGGGGACGCGGGCUUGGCUGAGAACCCUCGCGGGCAGCUGCGGGGCCCUGGAGGGUGACGCGAGCCACGGAUGGCCGCAAAUCGGGACGGAGGGGCCACCAUCCAACGGGACCAAGGACACCAGGAGUAUGGUGACAGGCCAAGGGGGGCAAACACAGAGAGAUCAGUGUUGUGACUGGAGAAACGGUUCAGGGUGUAGGCGUCCCUCGGCUAGUUCCUGCGUCUCUGUCAUGGGAACUGCUCUGCGCAUAGCGACCCAGCUGGAGCGUCCGCGGGACAGGGGAACUCAGAAGCCUCCCGCGUCUCCACCGUGGGUCUCUCGUGUUUCUCCCUGCAUCGUUAGAUCAGAGAGACCUGUUAACGACACUACGAGGAUGUGACCUGCCAAAUCCAGAAUGUGGGGAACUCUAAAGGAAGUUUCAGAAUUGUACUGCAGCCUUGGUGGCCCUCAACUUGAAAAGUUCAAGCACAGUCCUUUGCAGAAAAAUAUUUCAAGAUAAUAAUGAAUGAAUAAAAACUACACAGAAAUUAACACAGCCUGACUCUGUGAUCAAUAGGUAUGCUGGCAAGGAGCCAUAGGAAAUAGUUUUUCCCGAUACAUCCCCAGAGGAUGCACUGGGACUUCAUGCAAGCAGAAGGGAGAAGUGGGCUCAGUCUUCCCUUUCCUGUGACUGUGACUAAUUUUUAUUGAUACAGGUAUCAUUUCAAUGUAUUGCCUCUUCUAAGAUCAAGUUUCUAUUAGGAUUUUCAUUCCAUCAAUGCGCAAGAUUUCUGAAAGGCAGAACUCUUAUGUAAUAGACUAAGAACCCCCCCCCACUACCAUCCCCACCACCUACUAGUAGCGUGUGCCUGGAAAAACCAUAUAAGCUAUUGGAGGCACAAUUUCUUCAUCUCCAGCACAGCAAUGGUUAAUGACAACCUGUCUUCAGUGUGCAUCUAUGUGAGGCUCUUGAUUAAUAAAUCUAUGUGGAAACAUUUAUUGCCAUAAAGUAACUUACCAGUGUAGCAUACUACUUUUAUUGUAGAGUCCAAAGAAUACAGGGCAUUACUUCAGAGACCAAAGAAUGAAGACAUUUGACCUAUUGCUUUGAGGGGCAGAGAGGCAAUUGGAAGCAAUGGAAUGGUGCGUGACAAUAAUACAUGCUUUGUAAAGAAGAAAAGGCAUACUGGUCAAGUCAGUUUUGCAAGAUACGAAAGCAACAUUAAUUUUCACAAGUCAUGAAUUCCAGUGCGUCUUUGGAAGGGUGAGAAUGUUCUAAAAUGAAGGCUGUAUUAUUCUUUAGGU